UCACCGAGCACUAUGGCAACCCGGCCAGCGGACUGCAUACAAUCCAGCUCGAACUUAAUCGCGCAAUCUACAUGGAUGAGCGGCGGCGCGAGCGUGGCCCGCAAUUCCGCAAGGUCGCCGAUGAUUUCAUGGUGCUAGCGGAGGCGCUGGCCGCGAUCCCGCUCGACAGCCUCGGACCGUUCCAGGCGGCGGCAGAAUAAAUUUCCUCAUGCGAAUCUCCUCGCACAGGACGCCUCGGCGUUGCCGAUUCCCCCCGCCCAAGAAAAAAGGGCCACUCGCGAAAGCAAGUGGCCCAAGUCUAGGGAGGAAACGCCCAAGGAGGGCAGCAAUAACGCGAGGCGUUAUCGCACCGCAACAAUAUGCAGCCGCAGCGCACCCAAGGCAAGUAUUUUUAAAGAAU
rnacentral:misc_RNA from 1 species